UACGGAGGGAGCUAGCGUUGUUCGGAAAUACUGGGCGUAAAGCGCACGUAGGCGGCGCAGCAAGUCAGGGGUGAAAUCCCGGGGCUCAACCCCCGGAACUGCCCUUGAAACUGCAGUGCUAGAAUUCUGGAGAGGCGAGUGGAAUUCCGAGUGUAGAGGUGAAAUUCGUAGAUAUUCGGAAGAACACCAGUGGCGAAGGCGACUCGCUGGACAGACAUUGACGCUGAGGUGCGAAAGCGUGGGGGAGCAAACAGG
rnacentral:rRNA from 1 species